CUACGGGCCGCUGCAGUGAGGAAUAUUGGACAAUGGAGGCAACUCUGAUCCAGCCAUGCCGCGUGCAGGAAGACUGCCCUAUGGGUUGUAAACUGCUUUUAUACAGGAAGAAACCUACUUACGUGUAAGUAGCUGACGGUACUGUAAGAAUAAGGAUCGGCUAACUCCGUGCCAGCAGCCGCGGUAAUACGGAGGAUCCAAGCGUUAUCCGGAAUCAUUGGGUUUAAAGGGUCCGUAGGUGGUUUAUUAAGUCAGAGGUGAAAUCCUAUCGCUCAACGAUAGAACUGCCUUUGAAACUGAUAGACUUGAGUUAUUGUGAAGUAGUUAGAAUAUGUAGUGUAGCGGUGAAAUGCAUAGAUAUUACAUAGAAUACCGAUUGCGAAGGCAGAUUACUAACAAUAUACUGACACUGAGGGACGAAAGCGUGGGUAGCGAACAGGAUUAGAUACCCCCGUAGUC
rnacentral:rRNA from 1 species